rnacentral:rRNA from 1 species
CAUGAGUGGCGGACGGGUGAGUAACGCGUGGGCAACCUGGCCUGUACAGGGGGAUAACACUUAGAAAUAGGUGCUAAUACCGCACAACGGGGAAGCCGCAUGGCUUUUCCCUGAAAACUCCGGUGGUACAGGAUGGGCCCGCGUCUGAUUAGCCAGUUGGCAGGGUAACGGCCUACCAAAGCGACGAUCAGUAGCCGGCCUGAGAGGGCGGACGGCCACACUGGGACUGAGACACGGCCCAGACUCCUACGGGAGGCAGCAG